rnacentral:rRNA from 1 species
CGGGCCCCAAACGAAAGUGUGACGGGGUUACCCAAAGUGUUCUCUUUAGAACUGUGGUAAGUGAGUAAUGUCCCCUUUUAGAAAGGAGAGGGCAAGGCUGGUGCCAGCCGCCGCGGUAAAACCAGCUCUUCAAGUGGUCGGGAUAAUUAUUGGGCUUAAAGUGUCCGUAGCCGGAUUGGAAAGUUCCUGGUAAAAUCGGGUAGCUUAACUAUCCGCGUGCUAGGAAUACUACCAUUCUAGAGGGCGGGAAAGGUCUGAGGUACUACAGGGGUAGGGGUGAAAUCUUAUAAUCCUUGUAGGACCACCAGUGGCGAAGGCGUCAGACUGGAACCCGCCUGACGGUGAGGGACGAAAGCCAGGGGAGCGAACCGGAUUAGAUACCCGGGUAGUCCUGGCCGUAAACGAUGCAUACUAGGUGAUGGUAUGGCCAUGAGCCAUAUCAGUGCCGUAGGGAAACCGUUAAGUGUGCCGCCUGGGAAGUACGGUCGCAAGGCUAAAACUUAAAGGAAUUGGCGGGGGA